rnacentral:rRNA from 1 species
GACGUAGGGCGCGAGCGUUGUCCGGAUUUAUUGGGCGUAAAGAGCUCGUAGGCGGCUUGUCGCGUCGACUGUGAAAACCCGCGGCUCAACUGCGGGCCUGCAGUCGAUACGGGCAGGCUAGAGUUCGGUAGGGGAGACUGGAAUUCAUGGUGUAGCAGUGAAAUGCGUAGAGAUCAUGAGGAAGACCAGUGGCGAAGGCGGGUCUCUGGACAGUUCCUGACACUGAGGCACGAAGGCCAGGGGAGCAAACGGG